UACGUAGGUGGCAAGCGUUGUCCGGAUUUACUGGGCGUAAAGAGCGCGCAGGCGGUCGUUCAAGUCGAGUGUGAAAGCCCCCGGCUCAACUGGGGAGGGUCAUUCGAUACUGAUCGACUGGAAGGCAGGAGAGGGAAGCGGAAUUCCCGGUGUAGUGGUGAAAUGCGUAGAUAUCGGGAGGAACACCAGUGGCGAAAGCGGCUUCCUGGUCCAGCACCGACGUCAGGCACGAAAGCGUGGGGAGCAAACAGG
rnacentral:rRNA from 1 species